CAUGUGGUUUAAUUCGAAGCAACGCGAAGAACCUUACCAGGUCUUGACAUCCCGAUGCUAUUUCUAGAGAUAGAAAGUUACUUCGGUACAUCGGUGACAGGUGGUGCAUGGUUGUCGUCAGCUCGUGUCGUGAGAUGUUGGGUUAAGUCCCGCAACGAGCGCAACCCCUAUUGUUAGUUGCCAUCAUUCAGUUGGGCACUCUAGCGAGACUGCCGGUAAUAAACCGGAGGAAGGUGGGAUGACGUCAAAUCAUCAUGCCCCUUAUGACCUGGGCUACACACGUGCUACAAUGGUUGGUACAACGAGUUGCGAGUCGGUGACGGCGAGCUAAUCUCUUAAAGCCAAUCUCAGUUCGGAUUGUAGGCUGCAACUCGCCUACAUGAAGUCGGAAUCGCUAGUAAUCGCGGAUCAGCACGCCGCGGUCGAAUACGUUCCCGGGCCUU
rnacentral:rRNA from 1 species